AAACCGGAGGAAGGUGGGGACGACGUCAAGUCAUCAUGGCCCUUAUGUCCAGGGCUACACACGUGUUACAAUGGCCGGUACAAAGGGCAGCUACUUCGCGAGAAGAUGCUAAUCUCGAAAGCCGGUCUCAGUUCGGAUCGAAGUCUGCAACCCGACUUCGUGAAGCUGGAUUCGCUAGUAAUCGCGCAUCAGCCAUGGCGCGGUGAAUACGUUCCCGGGCCUU
rnacentral:rRNA from 1 species